rnacentral:sRNA from 1 species
AGGAAAUCGAUCGAAGACGAAACUGAAGAUGCAACGUGAUUCAUGGAUUCCA